GACGAACGCUGGCGGCGUGCUUAACACAUGCAAGUCGAACGGUGAAAGGGAGCUUGCUCCCUGGAUCAGUGGCGAACGGGUGAGUAACACGUGGGCAACCUGCCCCAGACUUCGGGAUAACGCUUCGAAAGAGGUGCUAAUACCGGAUACGAACUCCUUGGGCAUCCUUGGGGUUGGAAAGUUUUUCGGUCUGGGAUGGGCCCGCGGCCUAUCAGCUUGUUGGUGAGGUAACGGCUCACCAAGGCGACGACGGGUAGCCGGCCUGAGAGGGCGACCGGCCACACUGGGACUGAGACACGGCCCAGACUCCUACGGGAGGCAGCAGUGGGGAAUAUUGCGCAAUGGGCGAAAGCCUGACGCAGCAACGCCGCGUGAGGGAUGACUGCCUUCGGGUUGUAAACCUCUUUCAGCAGGGAAGAAGCGAAAGUGACGGUACCUGCAGAAGAAGCACCGGCUAACUACGUGCCAGCCGCCGCAGUAA
rnacentral:rRNA from 1 species